GAGCCAAAAUGUCAAUUUCAAAAUGAUGGUAAUAAAACAACAAGAAGAAGUAACAGAAAAAGAAAAAAACAACGGCGCAGCUCAGUGAGUUGUUGAGCAUUUUCGACAGAAUGACAGCAUUACCGCACAGCCAUCACCAGUUCACAGACGAAUUGGAACCGAAAAAACAAAAAAUGCAACAAGGACGACGACGACGGCGACGACGACAAAAUGAGCCGGAGGAAAACAAAAACAACUCAAAUCCAGGACGGGUGUGGAGUAGGAGGGCGGCCGCCGCUGGAACAGAAUAACCGCACCGGCAAGAACCUCUCGGG